AUAUAACAAUUUAUGUUGAUCCUUAGGAACAGUCAACUUAUUGGACAAAAUAAAGAUGUAAAUUACGGUUUUGCCAUGUAUACUUUAUGGAAGAGAGUGACUUGCAGGGAAAAACGGGAGUAAGAGAGAGAAGAGAGUAUUGUAAAGAGAGAGAUACUUACGGGCCGACCACCAAUCCUUACGGCGGAGACCACGCGAUACGCCGGCGGGUACAUCCAUACCUCGCUGUCCGGAGGAUGAGCGUUCCAUCAGUGAUGUCGAUUCGGUGGUACAGUAUCCUACAACCGAUUUGGCUUCAAGUCGAGGUCCCCGACUACCUGCAACGGCCGCACAGUUAGGGUCACGUCGCAAACUGGAACUACGAUUCCGAUCGGUUAUUGUAUCCCCAUCGCCACCACAUUAUUCUAUUGGAACGCGGAACCCUACUCACCAUCUCCGGCGAUUAAGCUUCAAAGGCAGAAUCAGUGGCAAAAAGGAACUGGAGAUGUUUAUAGAUCAAAUGUGUCCCGGUGAUGGUUAUAAUAAUGAUAUCAAACUUGCAGAGUGGGAUGUGAAGAAAGAAGGGAGUAACACAAUAAUGAGAGGACGAUAAUUUGAAUGAUGCUUUCUCUAUGUAGUUGAGGAGGGUGAAAGUCAAGGUAUAAAUCUUGAUCAUGAACUUUCAUUUUUGCAUAAGUGCUACUGUAACAUUUGUGAUGAAUCAAUGUGGAUUUUAAGUUUUGGUACUUUAUUUAAAUAAAGUUUAAACCAGAAAUUGUAAAAUUA